CCCUCUCUCUGUCUCUCUCUUUCUCUUGAUUGCGCACAGUAGCUCCCCUGGGCUUCUCCAUUCUCGCUAGCGCAGUGGGUUCUCCGUUCUCUCUGGCGGACCAUCUCGCUAGGGUUUUGGUCGGAGUCAGUGAUAGGAAAGCUUGUGGAGUUGUUGGAAUCUCAUUUCCACCCAAUUUUCAUGUGGCUUCUUAAUCCUGGAGAUUGGAAUUCACAUAUCCAUUGUUUAGAUCUCAAUUUAUCCUGGAGAAAUUUUCUAUUUUGAUCAUGUUUGAACCUUAUUUCUGCAGAAAUUUCUGUGACAAAGUAACUUUCUAAAUUUCUGCAUAAAUUAUGAACAGGUCUUCUCUUCCAAUACCUGCCCUGGAUAUCUUCAGAGGGUGUGAGGCUGAGUGUCUCCAGACCUCCGUAAUCAAUCUAGUAAUCAAUCUGAUAUUUUUUUCUCAACCACUUUAAAAUUUUCGUUGCAAUAGCUUGAUACUAUUGUUUGCGGGGUACCAUUGGGUGUCAACAACUCAGUAUCAUGCCUAUGUUUCAUUUUAGAAUAUCUAGUAUCAAGCAGUCUGGCCUCAAGAAUUAUUUCGAGAUGAUUCAGCUCCUUUUCUUUUUUGGAUAUGGUCUCUUUUUUAUAAAAUAGAAUUUCUCUUAAACAAGGCACAUUAAUAUUGAAAUAAUAGGCAGUGUUGAAAUGUUAAUAUAUAUGUAACUAGAUAAAUAUUCAUGUUAUUAUAUAUAGGUACUAUAUAUAAUUAAUCUCUUAAUUGAAACAUUUAACACUAACUUUAGGGACCAUUACUUAGUUAGAGUUACUCAACUAGCAGACUAAUCAACAACUAGUGAAAACUCUUCCAUGGUGCUAUAUAUUUGGAUUUUUUUUGUGUAUGAUAUCAUACAUGAUAUCAUCAGACUAAUUGGGUCACAAUGCCGUUAGCCUAAAAAAAGUUUUGAUAAUUGACUUGUUGAUCUCAUUAAUGAACUUGCUCUUCUAAUCAGUGAAUAUGCAGUCCUAUGCAAAGUCAUUCCUAGUCCUUAUCAGCUAUUGUCAUUCUCUUGUUUCUCAUCUUUUCGCAAACCAUUUCAGCUAUCAGAUUGUAAUUUCUUUCAUAUUUUCUUAAAUUUGAUGUUAAUAUUUUUGACAUGCACUGUCUUUGAUGUUUGGAUGUUGUUAUUGUUGCCAUUUCAGCUAUCAGAUUCCAAUUUCUAUUGCUUCUGAAUUGUUGUAUGUCACUACUUGUUUAACAAGCAAAGGAACACGUUUGUGGUUUGAUCCAAAGCGGCAUUUAUAUUGGUGCUAUGGUUGUGCUUGAUGGGAGAAAAGUUGUAAUUAUAUCAUGACUAACACACUUGUUUCGCUGCAUUUGUGCUCAGUUCUCUAGAUGAACUCCACGAAGAGUAAUCUUUGGACUCUGUCCAACUUUAUCUCACUGAUUUUUAGCCUUAAUAUGAAUCCCCCUACUGCAACCUUUAAUUUGGUUAUGAAAAUGGCAACUUUAUUGGACCCACAAUUCUUCUUGAUGUUUAAGUCGAAUGUUACAAGGUAUUGAACUUUUUUUUUCUUUGUCAAACAUGUAUCCUUUUAUUAAUUUAAUUUAUUCAACAGAUAUACAGUCAUACAUAUCUGAUUCUGAAAAAAGUUUUAUCUUUCAAAGAAAAAAAUUGCAUGCCAUUACCACACAUCUGUUGGGUAAAAUUGAAUGAUUUUGUUUUGUAUUGAGCAAGAGGUGAUCUUUGGUCCACUUCUACUUCUCAUGCAGGCACCGCAUUUAACCAAGGUGUUUGGCAUUCACUUUGAGGCUUCAGUCAGAUGCCAUAUUUGGAUUGGAAAUACAUUGAUUAUGUUCUUUGUUUUAGAUGGUCUCUUUUAUCAUGUUUUGUUGAGACAUUCAGAAGGAGGCACAUGGUUAUUAUGAAAGUUGAAGAUGUGUAGUUCACUGUUAGUCCACUUUACAAGUUAAACUGUUUUCUUUCCCAAAGUUCAUAAUUUUUAAUGGGCCAUUUUAGCAGCUUUGUUAAAAUUGAUUAACUUUCCCUAUUUAUCAAUAAUUUUAUUGUUACUUUAGAAUCUCCUUUCCUUUAAUAUGGCGUUGAUUUUAACUUUUUGUUA